AGCGAACGCUGGCGGCAGGCCUAACACAUGCAAGUCGAACGAACUCUUCGGAGUUAGUGGCGGACGGGUGAGUAACACGUGGGAACGUGCCUUUUGGUUCGGAAUAACUCAGGGAAACUUGUGCUAAUACCGAAUGUGCCCUUCGGGGGGAAAGAUUUAUCGCCAUUAGAGCGGCCCGCGUCUGAUUAGCUAGUUGGUGAGGUAACGGCUCACCAAGGCGACGAUCAGUAGCUGGUCUGAGAGGAUGACCAGCCACACUGGGACUGAGACACGGCCCAGACUCCUACGGGAGGCAGCAGUGGGGAAUCUUGCGCAAUGGGCGAAAGCCUGACGCAGCCAUGCCGCGUGAAUGAUGAAGGUCUUAGGAUUGUAAAAUUCUUUCACCGGGGACGAUAAUGACGGUACCCGGAGAAGAAGCCCCGGCUAACUUCGUG
rnacentral:rRNA from 1 species